UUCCUUCACACACUGCGAGAGAGAGAGAGAGAGAGAGAGGGGGAGAGAGAUCAGAGCUGGUUUUGAUGCUCGGGAGAUAAAGCCACUGGAAGAUGAGCGGACAGUCAAGCGACUGACAUUGAAUCAAUCAUUCCUCACACGGAGUGGUCUGAAGGAAAGCCUCUUGUGUGCUGUAGUCAAACUAUUGGAGUUUCAAGACCCCCUCGGUAUCGCUG